UGGGAAGCAACUGAGUAUGCAGAAGCUGA
rnacentral:piRNA from 1 species